rnacentral:rRNA from 1 species
AAGCGUACCGCCGAAGUCGUGUCAAUCCAGCAUGAGGGCUAACGCCUGUUGGGUUGGGUAGGGGAGCGUCGUGUGCCGGGUGAAGCAGCCGCGUAAGCGAGUUGUGGAUGGUUCACGAGUGAGAAUGCAGGCAUGAGUAGCGAUUCACACGUGGGAAACGUGUGCGCCGAUUGACUAAGGGUUCCUGGGUCAAGCUGAUCUGCCCAGGGUAAGUCGGGACCUAAGGCGAGGCCGACAGGCGUAGUCGAUGGACAACCGGUUGAUAUUCCGGUACCCGCUUUGAAGCGUCCAAUACUGAAUCUUCUGAUGCUAAGGCCGUGAAGCCGUCCUGGAGCCUUCGGGCAAAGGGAAGUGGUGGAGCCGCUGACCCUAGGGGGUAGUAGGUAAGUGAUGGGGUGACGCAGGAAGGUAGUCCAGCCCGGGCGGUGGUUGUCCCGGGGUAAGGGUGUAGCCCGUCAUCUAGGUAAAUCCGGAUGGCGCGAAGGGUGAGACCUGAUGCCGAGCCGAUUGUGGUGAAGUGGAUGAUCCUAUGCUGUCGAGAAAAGCCUCUAGCGAGUUUCAUGGCGGCCCGUACCCUAAACCGACUCAGGUGGUCAGGUAGAGAAUACCGAGGCGUUCGGGUGAACUAUGGUUAAGGAACUCGGCAAAAUGCCCCCGUAACUUCGGGAGAAGGGGGGCCAUUUCUGGUGAUGGGCUUUGCGCCUUGAGCUGGGGGUGGCCGCAGAGACCAGCGAGAAGCGACUGUUUACUAAAAACACAGGUCCGUGCGAAGCCGUAAGGCGAUGUAUACGGACUGACGCCUGAAUGGCGUAACGACUUCUCGACUGUCUCAACCAUAGGCCCGGUGAAAUUGCAUUACGAGUAAAGAUGCUCGUUUCGCG